GUGGGGAAUCUUGCGCAAUGGGCGAAAGCCUGACGCAGCCAUGCCGCGUGAAUGAUGAAGGUCUUAGGAUUGUAAAAUUCUUUCACCGGGGACGAUAAUGACGGUACCCGGAGAAGAAGCUCCGGCUAACUUCGUGCCAGCAGCCGCGGUAAUACGAAGGGGGCUAGCGUUGCUCGGAAUUACUGGGCGUAAAGGGCGCGUAGGCGGACAGCUUAGUCAGAGGUGAAAGCCCAGGGCUCAACCUUGGAAUUGCCUUUGAUACUGGCUGUCUUGAGUUUGGGAGAGGUGAGUGGAACUCCGAGUGUAGAGGUGAAAUUCGUAGAUAUUCGGAAGAACACCAGUGGUGAAGGCGACUCACUGGCCCAAUACUGACGCUGAGGCGCGAAAGCGUGGGGAGCAAACAGGAUUAGAUACCCUGGUAGUCC
rnacentral:rRNA from 1 species